rnacentral:ncRNA from 2 species
GGGAAUCCGGUGCGAAUCCGGAACUGUCCCGCAACGGUGUACUCGCGUGUGUCCACAGCUGUCUCCGCAGCCGUGUCCGUACGCCUGUUCAGUCCGAGGACC